rfam:Picea glauca, whole genome shotgun sequence.
ACAAAGGAUUCUAUUUAGAAUCCACAUGCAUACAAAAAAAAAAGAUG